rnacentral:tRNA from 1 species
GGCCUCGUGGCCCAAUGGCAAGGCGUCUGACUACGAUGCUGAGUUUCCAAAGACACGAUUUCGCAAUCAGGAGAUUCUGGGUUCGACCCCCAGCGAGGUCA